rnacentral:rRNA from 1 species
GACGAACGCUGGCGGCGUGCUUAACACAUGCAGGUCGAACGGAAAGGCCCUGCUUUUGUGGGGUGCUCGAGUGGCGAACGGGUGAGUAACACGUGAGUAACCUGCCCUUGACUUUGGGAUAACUUCAGGAAACUGGGGCUAAUACCGGAUAGGAGCUCCUGCUGCAUGGUGGGGGUUGGAAAGUUUCGGCGGUUGGGGAUGGACUCGCGGCUUAUCAGCUUGUUGGUGGGGUAGUGGCUUACCAAGGCUUUGACGGGUAGCCGGCCUGAGAGGGUGACCGGCCACAUUGGGACUGAGAUACGGCCCAGACUCCUACGGGAGGCAGCAGUGGGGAAUAUUGCACAAUGGGCGGAAGCCUGAUGCAGCAACGCCGCGUGCGGGAUGACGGCCUUCGGGUUGUAAACCGCCUUCGCCUGUGACGAGGCGUGAGUGACGGUAAUGGGUAAAGAAGCACCGGCUAACUACGUG